rnacentral:rRNA from 1 species
UACGAAGGGGGCUAGCGUUGCUCGGAAUCACUGGGCGUAAAGGGUGCGUAGGCGGGUCUUUUAAGUCAGAGGUGAAAUCCUGGAGCUCAACUCCAGAACUGCCUUUGAUACUGAGGAUCUUGAGUUCGGGAGAGGUGAGUGGAACUGCGAGUGUAGAGGUGAAGUUCGUAGAUAUUCGCAAGAACACCAGUGGCGAAGGCGGCUCACUGGCCCGAUACUGACGCUGAGGCACGAAAGCGUGGGGAGCAAACAGG